rnacentral:lncRNA from 1 species
AUUUUAGACCCUGUGCUACAAUUGAACAAUAAAAUAAAAACAACAGGGUACGUACUGAGCAACCUUUGCCUUGCCCACAAGGCAAAUUCAAGAAAACCUAGCAGUUUCUCUUGGGCUUCUGCUAUGUUUCAGUGCCAUCUGAGCCUCCUCUAACCAUCAUUUAUACUCUGCAUUGUAUGGUAAUAGUGUUCUCUGGUUAAAGCAUAUACUUGCUCCUAACAAAGUGACUGGGCCAUAUUCAGUUAUUGGAGAGUAGGCUAGGAAAGAUCAAUCCCUAUUUCCACCAACCGCAUCCAACAAGAUUCAUAGGAGACCAUGGAGAAGAGAGGGGUGGAUCAAAAAUGUGAGGGAAAGCAAAUCCCUUGAACUGUCAAGACAGGCAGAAGCAGCCAUGCUUUUUCAUCUCUGGUAGGAUAGGAA